GGCUAUGGGAACCCAGAUGUUUGGAAAACAAAAGGAUGACGAGGAUACAUCAUUACAGCUUCUUUGUCAUCUCUCCAAGCGAACUUAUAACAACACAGUGAAUGAUUUAUUUAUAAGAGUCAGUAAUUAAAGGAUUUACUUCUGGAACUUUUUGCUGAAGUUCUUUAUCUGUGGUGGGACAAACACUUGAGACCAAUGGAGAGCAAAAGGAGAGCACACCUAUCUGUUCCUUCUUCCACACAUAUGGACUUUGCACUCUUAUAUCUACGUUGGGUGAGAGAAGUAUGCUUCGGGUUGUUUUCUCUACACCAUGACUCAGGAAACAGGAGAAGUCAUUUGAGUGAAAAUAAAAAAGAUGAGAAGGGACCAACAAAGCUGGCUUUCCAGAAGAAAGAAAGUUACAGUCAGGAAAGAUGAAAAUCGAUAUGAACCUUCAUGCAGCUUUUUUAAUCAUCAUCAUCAUCAUCAUCAUCAUCACAGAAUAAUGCAGAAACACCCUGAGAAACUGUCACAAACUUGGAAUGGGAUUUUCUGCUCUUACUAGCUGUGGCCAACCUGUUGUUUAGUACUGAAGGUUUACAAAAUAGACUUGGAUGUUUUGAUACUUGACAGAACAAUGGCUGUUUCAAGUGUUUGAUGACUUUGUGUUGGGAUGUUCUGACCUGGGAAAAGAGACAAGAUGAAAUGGUACAGGAGGAGGGAUGAAGUAGAUGCAGUCUAGGAGAGCAGGACUAAAAAUCAAAGUCCUCUCUGCCUUCCUUGCUUUCUUCCGAAUCAUACCACUGGUCUAUCUAGUACAUAGAUUUUACUCUAGCAGGCAGCUGUAAAGCCUGUAUUCAUACUGAAUAAGGGUGACAAGCGGGGACUGUGGGAAGCAAAUCCAAGGGCCUGAGGCUGCCAAAACCAUCUGGAUAUUCUGUUCUCAACAGUAGGUUUGCAAAACACUGUUCUGAAUUACUCAGAAGAGCCGUGCAUACUCCAAAUAAGUACCAGUGUUUAGGUACACUAGAAGCAAGGAAAAGCCCUUGCCUAGGCACAGUUGCUCUUAGACUCUUCAAAUUUAUCCAGUUCUGAGGAGAGCACUGCACUGUGUAAUGAUGUCAUCACAUGAUGCCAUGCAAGUUGGGGCUUCCUCUGGCACAUGCAGCACCUGGCCCUUAGGCCUGGAGAAGACCAAAGAGCCUAAAAGAGGAGCAGAUAUAUUCUUAGGAAACUGAGAAAGCUACACUGGCAUGCCUAGACACCAGCCCCUUUGUGGGGUGAGUGCAGCUGUUCUAAAUAUUUUGGAGCAGUGUUUGUGCACAAAAAUUAAGUUCCACUGAAGAGUGUUUGCGACUGGAACUGCAUCAAGACAUAUUGUCCAAAGCUCUGUGUAUGUUACAUAUUUCACUUAUUUGUCUUAUUUGUUUAUGAGUUGAUGUAG
rnacentral:lncRNA from 1 species